rnacentral:rRNA from 1 species
CCUACGGGAGGCAGCAGUCGGGAAUCUUGCACAAUGGGCGAAAGCCUGAUGCAGCAACGCCGUGUGAGCGAUGAAGGCCCUAGGGUCGUAAAGCUCUGUUGUUGGGGACGAAGGGCGAAGGGUUAAUAGCUCUUAGCCUGACGGUACCCUUCGAGGAAGCCCCGGCUAACUACGUGCCAGCAGCCGCGGUAAUACGUAGGGGGCGAGCGUUGUCCGGAAUUAUUGGGCGUAAAGGGCGCGUAGGCGGCCUGGUAAGUCUGCUGUGAAACCUUGGGGCUCAACCCCAAGCGUGCAGUGGAUACUGUCAGGCUAGAGGAUGGUAGAGGCCAGUGGAAUUCCCGGUGUAGCGGUGAAAUGCGCAGAUAUCGGGAGGAACACCAGUAGCGAAGGCGGCUGGCUGGGCCAUUCCUGACGCUGAGGCGCGAAAGCAUGGGGAGCGAACAGGAUUAGAUACCCUGGUAGUCCAUGCCGUAAACGAUGAACACUAGGUGUGGGGGGAGUCGAAUCCCUCCGUGCCGAAGCCAACGCGUUAAGUGUUCCGCCUGGGGAGUACGGCCGCAAGGCUAAAACUCAAAAGAAUUGACGGGGGCCCGCACAAGCAGCGGAGCAUGUUCUUUAAUUCGAUGCAACGCGAAGAACCUUAC